AUGAGAACACUCACGACGCAUUAUCUAGCUGGAGCUGAGAAUGCUACGUACCUUGACCUUGUCGAGAAAGAACUCGGGCGCAAUGAUCUUCCUCUGGUGGGCCCAAGCCUCGCCGUUGGACUUGAGGAUGCCUCUGCCAAACAGUGGCUCGUGCGUGGCCUUUAGGUAGGAGCUCUUGCCGAGGUCCAGCGAGACGCAGAGGUUGAUGUCCCGGACCACGUCUGGCCGGCUCACGUGAAGGAACACCACGUUCCCCAUGGAGUAAGUGAACACUGGACCUGCACUUGA
rnacentral:rRNA from 1 species